GCGAGAGUAGCCAAGCCUGGUCUAACCCUUUUCGACUCACGCGAAAAGCGUUAACGGAAAGGAUUACAGAAAAAGGCGCAAGUGCUGAUCUUGUCGGUUAGUCCGUUCGGCGGUUCGAAUCCGCCCUCUCGCA
rnacentral:tRNA from 1 species